UUCUAUCAUCCCUAGAUAUCCAUCAUCCAUUGAUCCCCAUGAAGAAAAAACAGAAAAUUGGUGGAAAAGAUCUUGCUAAUUUUCAACAAAUCUAUGGCCCAGAAGAAAGCAAGUCAAAACAGCAUGGAGUUCCUGGAUCCAGUUUGACUGACUAUAAAAGUACAGAGAAGCUUCAAUCAAAUGUGCCAACAUAUAUAAAUCUACCUCACCUAAACAGUCAGCUAGAAAACCUGCCAUUUCCAGAAACCGAUCCGUCCAACGAGCAAGAAAAAGAGCCAAAAGUGAAAAAGAGGAAGAAAAAGAAUGAGGCUAGAAAACUUCGCAAAAAGAAGAAGGAAGAGGCUCUUCAAAUGACCCUGCAAUGCCUCUUACAAAUAGUUCAAAUUAUGGUAAGUACAUUUCCUCAAUCACUCACCUUCUACUAGAAAUGUUUCAUCUUAGGGAAAACA
rnacentral:lncRNA from 1 species